CACCUCAACAUUUCAGCUUAAUCAUAGAGGAAGUGACUUUUAACACAGUUUUUUUUUUACUGUGCUUCAAAGCAAUUAGGGUGAGACCUCAUUGUUGCUGCCAGAUGAUGCUGGUUAGUACUGAGUCUACUUAGGAUAAGUUUCAUUUUGGGAAGAUAUGACAGCAAAAGAGAUCUGUGAUUAUUUUGGCUACUGGCCUCGCUACUUCUUGUUCUGUGUCUGGGUCAUCGACAUCGCCAUGAUAUUUUUGGUUUAUCACUUGGAAACAUGUUUGAAAGAAAUAACAGAAAAAUUCCAAAGGGACAAACGUCAAGAAGAGGACUAUAUCAACUACAGGACGAGUGGAUUUAUGUGAGAGCAAACCAGCUGAAGCAAUCAUUGAACAAUUAAUGUAAAAUUACUUGCAUACAAAUAUAGCAGUACAAAGAAAGAACUGAAUUCAUGUAAUGGAGCAUCUUAAUAUAGACCUAUUUCAUUCAAAUGCAUAAUUUUUGUGUGGAAAUCUGAGGAAAUUUAAAAUAAGUACUGACGAAUCAUUACUUUUUUUUUCUUGCAGUCUUAACAUUUGUAUGCUUUUGAGUCCUAAAUGUCCCCAACACUUGGAAUUUCAUCAAUGUGUUGCAAUAAAAGAUGCAUUUUGACCAGGG